UACGUAGGGGGCGAGCGUUGUCCGGAUUCACUGGGUUUAAAGGGUGCGUAGGUGGGUUGGUAAGUCAGUGGUGAAAUCCCCGAGCUUAACUUGGGAACUGCCAUUGAUACUAUUAAUCUUGAAUACCGUGGAGGUUAGCGGAAUAUGUCAUGUAGCGGUGAAAUGCUUAGAUAUGACAUAGAACACCAAUUGCGAAGGCAGCUGGCUACACGAAUAUUGACACUGAUGCACGAAAGCGUGGGGAUCAAACAGG
rnacentral:rRNA from 1 species